UCUGCGUUGUGGCCAAAGUCUCGGUUGCUUUAGCGCCAUCCUGUGGUAUCCUGAUGUCAAUGAAUGAUGUUGAUGUGGGGAGGAGCGUUAUUUCCUUAGACCAUCGUCCAGUCUCCUUAAAAAAAAUAUAUCCAGUCAUACCUCGGUUUUCGAGCAUAAUCCGUUGCAGAAGGCUUUUCGAAAAGCAAUUUGUUUGAAAUCCGAAAAUAUUUUAUGAGCCCGUGAUUUGGGGCUAAUACACUUUGCAGAAAUAACAUGAAAACAGUCAGAUUUGCAUAAAUCACGAGGAAGCGUCACUUCCUCGUGUAAGGAUGCCGAAAGGGGUCAAGAGAGUGAAAAACAGUUUUCGGUCAUAAUCAGACGUGUAAAAAUCUCAGCGUUUCUGGUCGAAAACCGAUUUGGUCGAGAACAGAGACGUUCGAAAACCGAGGUUUGACUGGAUAUGUGUUUUGAGAACCGGCAAGGAACUAUGUUGAAGUGUGGGGUGGCAGCUUCAUUUGAUAAAAAGUCGCUCUCUUAUGCCGGUUUUGCAAACACUUGCCGCUGUUAGCAAAAUAAAGUUUUGGCAGUUGAACAAUGUUCGAAAAGUGUUUGUGAACGUGUUAGCAAGCUACAUCGGCACGCCUUCGUAGCUCGGUGAGAAACAGGCUUCAUGCAACAACAGAAUUUGCCGGAAGCCAAAGGGAAGUCGGAGAAGAUAUGGAUGAAGAAGAAGAAGGAGUAGAAUUCGCGCCCCCCCCCCCCCCCCCCCAACUUGAGAGUAAGACGUCGGCGUCGACCAUUAAAAGAGAACAGAAGAAGAAACCGCAAUAAAGCAACCAGGAAUGUAUCUUUGGCCACAAUGUGACUUGGGAUUCGAGUUAUGUCGGAAAGCCGUUUUAAACACAAAAGAAAAAGUUGUCCAUGGUUAGAGUUUGACAUUUUGUCCAACCGGAACUCAUUGGCUGCCAUCAAGAUGCCCGCGCACCACCUUGUGUGUGUUUGGGGAGGCAGAGCAUUAAAUUCUGAAUGGAGCACACACACCCGUGAUUUAAGGAACGGGGAUUUGGGUACGAAUCCGAGCUCUAUUGCCAUUUUGGAAAAAAAAAACCCCAGAUGUGAUUUAUAACUCGAGACCACUUUUUAUGUUUUGUUUUUCCUUCUUCAUGAUGCAUUUUUGGACUGGUGAAAAAUACGGUCGGCCAACUUUCACACUCGCGCUCACACCUGUGGACAAUGUCAAGUCUUCCAUCAGCCUCACAUGUCUGCAUUUUGCCAGGAGAGGCGGGAUUGGUCGCCGGCAAAUGACAGGAAGCUUUGUAUCCUGUGUUUCUGUGUGUGUGUGUGUGUGUGUGUGCGUGCGCAUAAGUCACAUGGCGAGCUGAGGGCGACAGGGGGUAACCAUGUAGGUCACGGCGGCCGAUCCGCCACUAUACAUAAUUUAACUUGUGAGAUGGGCGGGGGGCGGGGGGGGGGUGACUCAAUAAUAAAUGGGAUCAGGGAGGAAGCAAGAUUUACAUUGCAUGGGGGAAGGUGGCGAGGGGUGGAGGGGGGGGGGGUCACAGGGGUUUGGGGGGGUCUCUUCUGUUAACUUGUUCACAUCAUGAUCUCCCGGCGAGGUGUCUGGGUUGUGACAGCACCGUCGGAGGCGACCGCAGCAAAGUGACCAAAGCGGUCAGCGUCAAAGCGAGGCACAACAAAAGCCCGACGACGCGGCCGACGGGAAACGCCGCGCGGGGUUCAUCCCAUGAAUAUCAUUUUUGUUUUUGCCGUUUCUUAGGGCUCCUCCGUAGCUCGUUACGCGGAUAAAGUCAUGUGUGCGCCCUCUGAAAAAGAACAAACAUGCCAAGAGCGAUCAAAAAAACAAACAAACUGAGGUGUCAUAUAAAACUCCGGUUUCCUCAUUUAAAAAAAAAAAAACACGUAUGGCAGGUUAAUGGAGCACUCGAAAUUGUCCCGAGGUGUGAUUGUGAACACGAAUGGUUGUUCGUCUCUGUGUGCCCUGCGAUUGGCUGGCAACCGGUUCAGGGUGUCAGAAUUAUGAUAUGAGGUUCUAAUUAUGGGCGGCCCAGUAGGCCAGUGGUUAGCACGUCGGCUUCUCAGUGCAGAGGUACCGGGUUCGAUUCCAGCUCUGGAACUCCCUGUGUGGGGUUUGCAUGUUCUCCCCGGGCCUGCGUGGGUUUUCUCCGGGUGCUCCGGUUUCCCCCCACAUUCCAAAAAACAUGCAUGGCAGGCUGAUUGGACGCUCUAAAUUGUCCCUAGGUGUGAGUGUGAGCAUGGAUGGUUGUUCGACUCUGUGUGCCCUGCGAUUGGCUGGCAACUGAUUCAGGGUGUCACCCGUCUACUGCCCGAAGACGGCUGGGAUAGGCUCCAGCGCCCCCCGCUGCCCUAGUGAGGAUUAAGCGGUUCGGAAAAUGGAUGGAUGGAUGGAUGGAGGGUUCUAAUUAUUGACCGGUCCGCCUCUCACCUUUAAUUUGACAUCUGAUGGAGGUACAGGCUAAAGUUAAGCGCUUAAUUGUGCCAUUUUAUGAUGGGCUUUUGUGAUAUUUCGGAGUGGCAAUAGCAUAACUGCAUUUUGUCACACUGGGAGCCGUUUCUAAUAUUUUGGGGAGCAAAUGACACUCCCUAUUU